CAGUAGCCGCGGUAAAACGGAGGGUGCAAGCGUUAUCCGGAUUUAUUGGGUUUAAAGGGUCCGUAGGCGGAUCUGUAAGUCAGUGGUGAAAUCUCACAGCUUAACUGUGAAACUGCCAUUGAUACUGCAGGUCUUGAGUAAAUUUGAAGUGGCUGGAAUAAGUAGUGUAGCGGUGAAAUGCAUAGAUAUUACUUAGAACACCAAUUGCGAAGGCAGGUCACUAAGAUUUAACUGACGCUGAUGGACGAAAGCGUGGGGAGCGAACAGGAUUAGAUACCCGCGUAGUCCCUGUCUCUUAUAC
rnacentral:rRNA from 1 species